UGAACUGUGACGAUGUUAUGACGUAUGGC
rnacentral:piRNA from 1 species